AUCGCUUCUCGGUCUUUUGGCUAAGAUCAAGUGUAGUAUCUGUUCUUAUCAUUUUAACAAACUCUUUCCUUAUCACUUUAUAUCCCCUCACCCCUCCAAUCCAAUACCAUCAAAAUACAGUUUCAGUUCUUUAGGCUAAACAUUAGCCGGGUCCUGCACUUCCUUUAGUGUGUAAGGUAUGUGUU
rfam:Mustela putorius furo unplaced genomic scaffold scaffold00054, whole genome shotgun sequence.